rnacentral:rRNA from 1 species
UUGAACGCUGGCGGCAGGCCUAACACCUGCAAGUCGCGCGGAUGAAGGGGGCUUGCUCCUGGAUUCAGCGGCGGACGGGUGAGUAAUGCCUAGGAAUCUGCCUGGUAGUGGGGGAUAACGUCCGGAAACGGGCGCUAAUACCGCAUACGUCCUGAGGGAGAAAGUGGGGGAUCUUCGGACCUCACGCUAUCAGAUGAGCCUAGGUCGGAUUAGCUAGUUGGUGGGGUAAAGGCCUACCAAGGCGACGAUCCGUAACUGGUCUGAGAGGAUGAUCAGUCACACUGGAACUGAGACACGGUCCAGACUCCUACGGGAGGCAGCAGUGGGGAAUAUUGGACAAUGGGCGAAAGCCUGAUCCAGCCAUGCCGCGUGGGUGAAGAAGGUCUUCGGAUUGUAAAGCACUUUAAGUUGGGAGGAAGGGCAGUAAGUUAAUAACUUGCUGUUUUGACGGUACCAACAGAAUAAGCACCGGCUAACUUCGUG